rnacentral:tRNA from 1 species
GCCUUCGUAGCUCAGGGGAUAGAGCGAUCGCCUCCUAAGCGAUAGGUCGCAGGUUCGAAUCCUGCCGAGGGCGCCA